AUUGAACGCUGGCGGCAUGCUUUACACAUGCAAGUCGAACGGUAACAGGCCGCAAGGUGCUGACGAGUGGCGAACGGGUGAGUAAUGCAUCGGAACGUGCCCAGUCGUGGGGGAUAACGCAGCGAAAGCUGCGCUAAUACCGCAUACGAUCUAUGGAUGAAAGCGGGGGACCGAAAGGCCUCGCGCGAUUGGAGCGGCCGAUGUCAGAUUAGGUAGUUGGUGGGGUAAAGGCUCACCAAGCCAACGAUCUGUAGCUGGUCUGAGAGGACGACCAGCCACACUGGGACUGAGACACGGCCCAGACUCCUACGGGAGGCAGCAGUGGGGAAUUUUGGACAAUGGGCGAAAGCCUGAUCCAGCAAUGCCGCGUGUGUGAAGGAGGCCUUCGGGUUGUAAAGCACUUUCGUCCGGAAAGAAAUGGCUCUGGUUAAUACCUGGGGUCGAUGACGGUACCGGAAGAAUAAGGACCGGCUAACUACGUGCCAGCCGCCGCCGUAACAC
rnacentral:rRNA from 1 species